AGCGGAGGAAAAGAAACUAACAAGGAUUCCCCUAGUAACGGCGAGUGAAGUGGGAAAAGCUCAACUUUGAAAUCUGGCACUUUCAGUGUCCGAAUUGUAGUCUCAAGAAGUGUUUUCUGUGCUAGUCCGUGUAUGAGUCUGUUGGAACACAGCGUCAUAGAGGGUGACAACCCCGUUCAUGACACGGAUCCUAGUGCUUUGUGAUACACUCUCGAAGAGUCGAGUUGUUUGGGAAUGCAGCUCAAAUUGGGUGGUAAAUUCCAUCUAAAGCUAAAUAUUGGCGAGAGACCGAUAGCAAACAAGUACCGUGAGGGAAAGAUGAAAAGCACUUUGGAAAGAGAGUUAACAGUACGUGAAAUUGUUGAAAGGGAAACGAUUGAAGUCAGACGUGCGUGAUGCGGUUCAGCUCUGGUUCGCCAGAGUGUACUCCGUAUCUUUGCAGGCCAACAUCGGUUUUGUUAGUCGGAUAAAGGUUUGAGAAAUGUGGCACCUUCGGGUGUGUUAUAGUCUCAGACUGAAUACGAUUGAUGGGACCGAGGAACGCAGCGCGCCGCAAGGCAAAGGUUCCGACCUUUUCGCGCUUAGGAUGUUGGUGAAAUGGCUUUAAACGACCCGUCU
rnacentral:rRNA from 1 species